AGCGAACGCUGGCGGCAGGCUUAAUACAUGCAAGUCGAACGCACCCUUCGGGGGUGAGUGGCGGACGGGUGAGUAACACGUGGGAAUGUGCCUUUAGGUUCGGAACAACCCAGGGAAACUUGAGCUAAUACCGGAUAAGCCCCCAUUCUUUAGCGAGAGUGAGGGGAAAGAUUUAUCGCCUUUAGAGCAGCCCGCGUCUGAUUAGCUAGUUGGUGGGGUAAAAGCCUACCAAGGCGACGAUCAGAGCUGGUCUGAGAGGAUGGCCAGCCACACUGGGACUGAGACACGGCCCAGACUCCUACGGGAGGCAGCAGCAGGGAAUCUUGCGCAAGUGGGCGAAAGCCUGACGCAGCCAUGCCGCGUGGAUGAUGAA
rnacentral:rRNA from 1 species